AAUCAACGCUGGCGGCGUGCCUAACACAUGCAAGUCGAACGCGAAAGCCCCGCAAGGGGUAAGUAGAGUGGCAAACGGGUGAGUAACGCGUGGGUGACCUGCCUUCGAGCGGGGGGAUAACGUUCCGAAAGGGACGCUAAUACCGCAUGACAUCCUGCCUUUUUAAGAGGUGGAGAUCAAAGCUGGGGAUCGCAAGACCUAGCACUCGAAGAGGGGCCCGCGUCCGAUUAGCUAGUUGGUGGGGAACGGCUCACCAAGGCAACGAUCGGUAGCCGGCCUGAGAGGGCGGACGGCCACACUGGGACUGAGACACGGCCCAGACUCCUACGGGAGGCAGCAGUGGGGAAUUGUUCGCAAUGGGCGCAAGCCUGACGACGCAACGCCGCGU
rnacentral:rRNA from 1 species